UGUGUAUGGUGGUCUGAACAUUGUAGAUUAUAUCCUAUUCGAAUUACUUGGGCUGCUUUGAAAACUGCUAUGCGUACUCGUUGGGUUCCACCAUAUUAUCAACGUGAAUUGCUUCAAAAAUUGCAGCGCUUAAGACAAGGGAAAAAUUCUGUAGAAGAAUAUUAUCAGGAAUUACAAACUGGCAUGAUUAGAUGUGGUAUUGUUGAGGAGAAUGAAGCUAUGCUUGCACGUUUUAUGGGUGGAUUAAAUAGAGAGAUUCAGACCAUUCUAGAGUAUAAGGAGUAUACUAAUAUCACUCGUUUAUUCCGUCUUGCUUGUAAAGCUGAACGUGAAGUGCAGGAUCGACAAGCAUUGGUGCGAACUAACUUUUCUGCAGGCCGACCAUCAUCAUGGACACCGCGUGCAUCUUCUACUUCAACUGCACCAGCACCUCCAUCAGGUGCCACCUCCAGCCGUGAUACAAGAAAGCAGGCACAACCACCAUUAUCUGCCAAGAGCGCACUUGCCGUGCCUACACAGAGCUCUUCUUCUUCCAUGGCAUCAACUGGGCACAUAAGUGAUAUUAUUUGUCGUCGUUGUAAGGGA
rnacentral:rRNA from 1 species